rnacentral:rRNA from 1 species
UACAGAGGUCUCAAGCGUUGUUCGGAUUCAUUGGGCGUAAAGGGUGUGUAGGUGGCGCGCUAAGUCGGGUGUGAAAUCUCGGAGCUUAACUCCGAAACUGCAUUCGAUACUGCCGUGCUUGAGGACUGGAGAGGAGACUGGAAUUUACGGUGUAGCGGUGAAAUGCGUAGAUAUCGUAAGGAAGACCAGUGGCGAAGGCGGGUCUCUGGACAGUUCCUGACGCUGAGGCACGAAGGUCAGGGGAGCAAACGGG